GGCAUCAUAGCUCAGUUGGUUAGAGCGUCAGCUUAACAGCUCAUACUGUUCGCUGAAGGUCUGCGGUUCGAGCCCGCGUGACGUCA